UGAGGAAUAUUGGUCAAUGGGCGGGAGCCUGAACCAGCCGAGCCGCGUGAGGGAGGAAGGCCCUAUGGGUCGUAAACCUCUUUUGUCAGGGAACAAAAGCGAGUAUGUAUACUAGUCUGAGUGUACCUGAAGAAAAAGCAUCGGCUAACUCCGUGCCAGCAGCCGCGGUAAUACGGAGGAUGCGAGCGUUAUCCGGAUUUAUUGGGUUUAAAGGGUGCGUAGGCGGCGGUGCAAGUCAGCGGUAAAAGCCCGGGGCUCAACCCCGGCGAGCCGUUGAAACUGCAGUGCUAGAGAAGGCGAGAGGUACGCGGAAUGCGCAGUGUAGCGGUGAAAUGCUUAGAUAUUGCGCAGAACUCCGAUUGCGAAGGCAGCGUACUGGCGCCUGACUGACGCUGAGGCACGAAAGCGUGGGGAUCGAACAGGAUUAGAUACCC
rnacentral:rRNA from 1 species